CACUGCGCCGAAAAUGUACCGGGGCUAAACAUAUUACCGAAGCUGUGGAUUGUCCGUAGGACAAUGGUAGGAGAGCGUUCUAAGGGCGUCGAAGCAUGAUCGCAAGGACAUGUGGAGCGCUUAGAAGUGAGAAUGCCGGUGUGAGUAGCGAAAGACGGGUGAGAAUCCCGUCCACCGAUUGACUAAGGUUUCCAGAGGAAGGCUCGUCCGCUCUGGGUUAGUCGGGUCCUAAGCUGAGGCCGACAGGCGUAGGCGAUGGAUAACAGGUUGAUAUUCCUGUACCACCUAGUAUCGUUUUAAUCGAUGGGGGGACGCAGUAGGAUAGGCGAAGCGUGCUAUUGGAUUGCACGUCCAAGCAGUAAGACUGAGUGUUAGGCAAAUCCGGCACUCAUAAGGUCAAGCUGUGAUGGGGAGAGGAAAUUGUUUCCUCGAGUCGUUGAUUUCACACUGCCAAGAAAAGCCUCUAGAUAGAUAACAGGUGCCCGUACCGCAAACCGACACAGGUAGUCAAGAUGAGAAUUCUAAGGUGAGCGAGCGAACUCUCGUUAAGGAACUCGGCAAAAUGACCCCGUAACUUCGGGAGAAGGGGUGCUCUUUAGGGUUAACGCCCAGAAGAGCCGCAGUGAAUAGGCCCAAGCGACUGUUUAUCAAAAACACAGGUCUCUGCUAAACCGUAAGGUGAUGUAUAGGGGCUGACGCCUGCCCGGUGCUGGAAGGUUAAGAGGAGUAGUUAGCUUCUGCGAAGCUACGAAUCGAAGCCCCAGUAAACGGCGGCCGUAACUAUAACGGUCCUAAGGUAGCGAAAUUCCUUGUCGGGUAAGUUCCGACCCGCACGAAAGGCGUAACGAUUUGGGCACUGUCUCAACGAGAGACUCGGUGAAAUCAUAGUACCUGUGAAGAUGCAGGUUACCCGCGACAGGACGGAAAGACCCCGUGGAGCUUUACUGUAGCCUGAUAUUGAAAUUCGGCACAGCUUGUACAGGAUAGGUAGGAGCCUUUGAAACGUGAGCGCUAGCUUACGUGGAGGCAUUGGUGGGAUACUACCCUAGCUGUGUUGGCUUUCUAACCCGCACCACUUAUCGUGGUGGGAGACAGUGUCAGGUGGGCAGUUUGACUGGGGCGGUCGCCUCCUAAAAGGUAACGGAGGCGCUCAAAGGUUCCCUCAGAAUGGUUGGAAAUCAUUCAUAGAGUGUAAAGGCAUAAGGGAGCUUGACUGCGAGACUUACAAGUCGAGCAGGGUCGAAAGACGGACUUAGUGAUCCGGUGGUUCCGCAUGGAAGGGCCAUCGCUCAACGGAUAAAAGCUACCCCGGGGAUAACAGGCUUAUCUCCCCCAAGAGUUCACAUCGACGGGGAGGUUUGGCACCUCGAUGUCGGCUCAUCGCAUCCUGGGGCUGUAGUCGGUCCCAAGGGUUGGGCUGUUCGCCCAUUAAAGCGGUACGCGAGCUGGGUUCAGAACGUCGUGAGACAGUUCGGUCCCUAUCCGUCGUGGGCGUAGGAAAUUUGAGAGGAGCUGUCCUUAGUACGAGAGGACCGGGAUGGACAUACCUCUGGUGUACCAGUUGUCGUGCCAACGGCAUAGCUGGGUAGCUAUGUAUGGACGGGAUAAGUGCUGAAAGCAUCUAAGCAUGAAGCCCCCCUCAAGAUGAGAUUUCCCAACUUCGGUUAUAAGAUCCCUCAAAGAUGAUGAGGUUAAUAAGGUUCGAGGUGGAAGCGUGGUGACACGUGGAGCUGACGAAUACUAAUCGAUCGAAGACUUAAUCAA
rnacentral:rRNA from 1 species